AUUGAACGCUGGCGGCAGGCCUAACACAUGCAAGUCGAGCGAGCGGCGGACGGGUGAGUAAUGUCUGGGAAACUGCCUUAUGGAGGGGUAUAUCUUCUGGAAACGGUCGCUUAUCCCGUAUACCCUCAGAUGUGCCCAUAUGGGAGUAGCUAGUAGGUGGGGUAAUGGCUCACCUCGGCGACGAUCCCUAGCUGGUCUGAGAGGAUGACCAGCCACACUGGAACUGAGACACGGUCCAGACUCCUACGGGAGGCAGCAGUGGGGAAUAUUGCACAAUGGGCGCAAGCCUGAUGCAGCCAUGCCGCGUGUGUGAAGAAGGCCUUCGGGUUGUAAAGCACUUUCAGCGAGGAGGCGUUACUCGCAGAAGAAGCACCGGCUAACUCCGUGCCAGCAGCCGCGGUAAUUC
rnacentral:rRNA from 1 species